GCUAUCUCCUUUAGCUGUCAGAUUUCUACACAGGAUGUAAAGAGGCUCCUUUUUUUUAUUAAUUUAAGCAAAAACAGCCUUUUCUACUACAAGCUCUAGUUUUAUAUUUGGGGUUCAAGUUUAUCACUGAGGUCUAUUAUAGUAUUUAAUAUUGUGUGAUUUCAGGUGUUGUGGAGCUAUACUAUAUGAGGUUAUAACAUUUGUUUUGUUUUUGCUUUUAUCUCCUUGCCAUGGUCUGAAGAAGCCAUAUUGUUGUAAGGUUGAUGACAAAUGAGGUCAUGGCCUGUUUCAGUAUGAAGUGGGGGAAGGGGAAGCUUGCCUUCACCAAGAUCAAUCUGUACACUGUUGUCACAGAGAGUGUCCAGAAAACAUCAAAAGAGACGGGGCAAAUAUUGCAGCGGCCACCGCCUUUUGUUUAAAAUAUGCCCCAGCAGAGCCGUCGCAAGGAGGGUGAGAGGCCCUGUGCAAAGUUGACAUGCGAGGCCCUCUACAAUUUUGCGUGUGUGUGUGUGUGGUGGGGGAGGUUGCUGUAGUAAGGCAAGGCAAGUUUAUUUAUAUAACAGAUUUCGUACACAAUGGUAAUUCAAAGUGCUUUACAUAAAAUAAAGUAAAAUAAUCAUGAAGAACAAAACUAAAAACAAGCAAUUUUAAAACUUUGGAAAUGAUUUAAAAAUUGACUUGAAUUUAAAACAGUUAGAAAUAGAAAAUGAUUUUACAUAAAAUACAGUGAAUACGUAAA
ensembl:lncRNA